UGCCAGACUCCUACGGGAGGCAGCAGUGGGGAAUAUUGCACAAUGGGGGAAACCCUGAUGCAGCGACGCCGCGUGAGCGAUGAAGUAUUUCGGUAUGUAAAGCUCUCUCAGCAGGGAAGAAGAUGACGGUGCCUGACUAAGAAGCCCCGGCUAACUACGUGCCAGCAGCCGCGGUAAUACGUAGGGGGCAAGCGUUAUCCGGAUUUACUGGGUGUAAAGGGAGCGUAGACGGCGAUGCAAGCCAGAUGUGAAAGCCCGGGGCUCAACCCCGGGACUGCAUUUGGAACUGUGUGGCUGGAGUGUCGGAGGGGCAGGCGGAAUUCCUGGUGUAGCGGUGAAAUGCGUAGAUAUCAGGAGGAACACCGGUGGCGAAGGCGGCCUGCUGGACUGCAACUGACGUUGAGGCCCGAAAGCGUGGGGAGCAAACAGGAUUAGAUACCCUAGUA
rnacentral:rRNA from 1 species